GGCUUGUCUCGGUCUCCUAGCCUCAAGUGAUUCUCCUGCUUCGGCCUCCCAAAGUGCUGGCAUUGCAGAUGUGAGCCACUGGCACCUAGCCCAGACAUAAUACUUUUAUAAAUGUAAAUCUCAGAAGACGAGUCUAUAAAAGGAGUUUCAUCAGGCUCAAAUCAAGGUGUGCACAGGAUGGUGUUGCUUCUGGGGUAUCUGGGGGAAGAAUUCCUUCCACGCCCUUUCUAGGUUACAAAGGCUGCUUGUAUUCCUUGUAUCACAGUCCCUAAUCAGAAAUUCCAUCACUGUGAUUUCUGUUUCAGUCAUCACCUCUCUUUCUCUCAUGCCCCUGCCUCUUUUUGUCAAUUAUAACUUGUGAUUACUUUGGGCUCAUUCUGAUAAUUCUGGAUGCUAUAGUUUGAAUGGGUACUGCAAACUUCAUGUGUUGAAAACAAUUUUCAAUGCAACAAUGUUGGGAAGUGGUAUGUUUAAUGGCAUCAUAAAGAGGGUUUGCAGGACACGGUUCUUCUCUUCCACUCUUCUGCCAGGUGAGGACGUAGUGUUCCUCGCCUCUGGAGGAUGCGGCAUUCAAGGCAUCAUUUUGGAAGCAGAGACUGAAACCUAAGCUGCCAGCACCUUGACCUUGGACUUUUCAGCUUCCAGAACUGUGAGAAACAAAUUUCUACUCUUUAUAAAUGACCCAGUCUGUGGUACUAUAAUACAACAGCACAAAUGGACUAAGACACAGGGUAAUCUCCCCAACUUGAGAAACUUAACCUAUUCACACCAGCAGGUGUCUUUUGCCAUAUAAUAUAUUCACAGUUUCCAGAAGUUAAGAUUUGGAUACCUUCUAGUGGUCUGCUAUACAUGGAGGAUGCCUAUGUUCAAAAAUAAAAGGAGUAAAGAUGGUAAACAUGCUAUGUCUCUCUACCUAAUAAUAAUGACAAUAACAAUUAUACGUUCCAAUCAAAUUCUCAUUAAAAUUUUACUAGAAACAGGACAAGCUAUUUUAACUUAAAUGUAAAGGAGCAAAACACUAUCAAUAGCAAAGAUAAGUGAUGAAUAUUAUAAUGGGUAGAAAAACUUACUUGUUAUGAAGUGAGACUUUUUUUUUUUGAGAACAGUAGCAUUUAAGAGAGUGUGGCAUUAGACCUGUGCAAAAAUUACUGCACCAGUUAGUUUUAAAAUACAGAAAAAAUAAAACUAAAUCCUAAUAUAUCAUACAAAAUUCAAUUAUAGAAAAUUAAAGGCAUCCCUUUAAAGCUUUGAGAAGAAAAUAUAUCUUAAACAAUAAUUUCUCAAGCAAGAAAUAAAAAACACGAACUAUUAAGGAAAAUAUUGAUUUUGCCACAAUGAAAGUUGUAACUUCUGUACAUCCGCCAUUAUCUUAAAUGCUUUAAGGGAGUAAAGACAAGCCAGAGAUUAUAAGAAGAUAUUGGCAUAGGUAGAUCUAAAAAAAUCCAUAGCAACAAGAUUAUAUAAAACUCCUCUAUAUCGAAAAGAAAACAAACAAUGAAAAAUGAGUCAAGCACCUUAAUGUAUAUUGAGAGACAAAUUAACCUGAAAAACCAAAAAUAUAUUUGUAGUCUUCCUUAUAAAUAGUAACAUGCAAAUUAAACACAAAAUGAAGUAUAAUCUGCCACCUAUUAGUGAAGCAAAAUAUUAAAAAAUCUGACAAAAGUUGAAAAUGUUGUAGAGCAAUAGGGACAAUUGUUUUCUAUAAUUAGGAGAAUUAAUUAAAACAAUCACUUUCAGUAACAAUUUGACUUACUGAGUAAAUGCAAAACAUACAUUCCAUAAGAUACAACAAUUUCCUCUGAGAUAUAUAUUCUUGAGGAAUGCACUUAUACACAAGGAGACAUGUAAAAUAAUGUUAAAUACAAUAUUGCUUGUAAAACCUUUAAACAUGGAAGCAAACUGUAUGACUUCAGGAGAAUGGGUAAACAUAUUAUGCUAUAUUUUGGCCCGAGCACAUGUAGUAUUGUAAGGGGUUGUAUCAUUCUAUUUUUUGUUUCAUAUUAUGCUUGCCAACACCAUAAAUAACAAGUCUUGUAAAUUUUAAAUAAUUGUUAAACUACAUGUUUUGAAUGGCUCACCAGAACAACAAUAGAAUAUAAUAAGUGAUUUCAACAGAAACCCAGACUCUCAAUUUUUAUUAUUUAAGCCCAAAGACAAUGGGCUUAAAAGUAUUUUUUAAGAUAGGAAACAUGGAAACAAAAUUCAGAAUUUCUGAUAUUUAAAAAAUCUAAAAAUAAGAGAAUAAUUCAAUUUAAUUGAAGAAAAUGUACCACAACUGAAGAAUGUAGGCACCGUCAUUGGAAAAAAAAACAUAUCACAUGAGAAUAGAAUGACCAGAAAAAAUAAGCACACCUUACUCAGAAGCAAUGUGUGGACAAAGGGAAAAGCUAAAAUUUCUAGUCUAGAAAACACGAGAUAAUAUCUCUAAUACUUGUGAUAGAAGUUUCAUAUUUUCUUUCUGAGCAGCAACAGAGUAAACAAGGAUGAAGAAGGGUUUUCAAUGCUUUAAGAAAGGAAAAGAGAAAUGAAGCUUUGUCAGAACAUUUAUCAUCUUGAAACAGUAAUAUGAAGUCAAAUUGUGAAAUGUACAUUGAAAAAGCAAAACUGAAAUCUACAAGGACAUGUGAUUUAAGAAGCAGUUGUGAACAAUCACACACACCCCACACACCAGAAGCUUAUAUGAGCUGAGCAACAGAAUGUCUUUAUACAAAAUAACAGAAUUAGGAACAGAAAAUUAGUACUAAAGCCUUCGGAAAAGAGUGUUAAUGAAUAGGUUCUAAAGCUUAAGCUUCACUAGCUUCAUGAAAAUAAAAACUUCUGGGCAAGAAACUUAGAACAAUGAUUGCACAGUGAGUAAAGCAUUAGAAGCAAUACCUUCAAAGUCAAAAACAUAAAUAGGAUAUCUAUUAACCACAGUCGCAUUCAGAAUGGUACUGACUGUUUCAGCCAAUGAAGAGGAAAACACAAAUUGAAAACAAAAUUUUCAUGCGUAUACAAAACAGGAGAGUAACUAUCAUUAACCUUAGAUGAUGCGUUUGUGUAUGUGAUCAAAUAUAUAGAAAACUCAUUAGAAUCAAGGGGCAAAUUAUUAGAUAUAAGAAGAACAAUCAACAAGAUGGUCAGGUACAAGAUAAAUAAUUAAAAUCAGUAAUUUUCCUGCUCACUAGCAAUAACUGUGUAGAAAAUAGGAGAAAAAUGACAUUCAGAAUGAUAUGAAAUGGUUUAUAGUAAACCCAAAAAUAACUGAGCAACAUAUGUUUGUAAAACUUUUCUGAAGGAGACACCAGAAAUUAAGUAACUAUAUAUGUUAUCCUAUGUUGCUAUUUAGAAACUUUCAAUGUUACAAUUAAUCUACACCUUUCAAACUAUGAAUAUAAUGUGAUAAUGAAAAUCUCAAUAGGAUUUUUAAUGUAAAUCAAUACAGAAAAUGGGAUAUAAAUCUGGAAAAGAUGAUAUAGAUAUUUUGGCAUUGGAAGCUUUUUUUUUUAAAGUACCCGAAAUUCACAAAGGAGAAAAAUAAAGAAAAAAAGUGAACAAUUUGUUAAGAUGUGCUUCAUUACAAUGUGUGCCAUCACUACCUCUGUCUAGUGUCAAAACACUUUCAUCACUCUAAAAUAAAAACCCAUACAUAGUAAAUUGUUAUCCCCUGUUCUUUUCUUCCCAUCCCCCGAGGAACUACCAAUCUGCUUUCUGCCUCUAUGGAUUUACCUAUUCUAAAUAUCUCAUAUAAACAGGAUCUGACCUUCUGUGUCUAGUUUCUUUCACUUAGCAUGUUUCAAGGUUUAUCCACAUUGUAAAAUAUAUCAUUACUUAGUUCCUUUUUAUGCCUGAAGAGUGUCCCAUUGUGCAUAUACAUAUAUAUAUGUGUGUGUGUGUGUGUGUAUGUGUGUGUAUAUAUAUGACAUUUUGCUUAUCUAUUCAUAUAGUGAUGGAUGUUUGAGUUGUUUCUACUUUUUAGUUGGAAUAUGAAUAUUUGGAAUAUGAACAUGCGCCCACAUGUAUUUCAAUCUGUUUUAAAAUCUUCGGGGUAUAUACCUGGCA
rnacentral:lncRNA from 10 species